UGGGGAAUAUUGCACAAUGGGCGCAAGCCUGAUGCAGCGACGCCGCGUACGGGAUGGAGGCCUUCGGGUUGUAAACCGCUUUUGUUCAAGGGCAAGGCACGGUCUUUGGCCGUGUUGAGUGGAUUGUUCGAAUAAGCACCGGCUAACUACGUGCC
rnacentral:rRNA from 1 species